GACGGGGGGGGCAAGUGUUCUUCGGAUUCAUUGGGCGUAAAGGGUGCGUAGGCGGCGCGGUAAGUCGGGUGUGAAAUCUCGGGGCUUAACUCCGAAACUGCAUUCGAUACUGCCGUGCUUGAGGACUGGAGAGGAGACUGGAAUUUACGGUGUAGCGGUGAAAUGCGUAGAUAUCGUAAGGAAGACCAGUGGCGAAGGCGGGUCUCUGGACAGUUCCUGACGCUGAGGCACGAAGGUCAGGGGAGCAAACGGG
rnacentral:rRNA from 1 species